rnacentral:tRNA from 1 species
UCUCAGGUGGUCUAGUGGUUAAGACUCUGAACUUCCAUUGCAGGGGUGAGGGUUCGAUCCCUGGUCAGGGAA